rnacentral:tRNA from 1 species
GCCUGAUUGGCUCAAUCAGUAGAGCAUAUGACUCUUGAUCCUGAGGUUGUAAAUUCAAGCCCCACAUUGGGUG